UGAUGCCAAACUCAGUGUGGAUGCCCAAUU
rnacentral:piRNA from 1 species